rfam:Caenorhabditis remanei strain PB4641 contig301.3, whole genome shotgun sequence.
GAGCACUCCCUAGAGAGUUAAGGUCAUUUUAAGACGACAGCUCAAAACUCACGCCUUUUUGCGUUGAAAUAGAAUUGUUUUCGAGGCCUUUUUUCGAAGCAUUAAGCGGAGCCAUUUUAUGGCACCGUGACUCUCCUCGAACACAGUGUCAAGCGGGGAGUUUGACUGGGGCGGUACAUCUAUCAAAUCGUAACGUAGGUGUCCUAAGGCGAGCUCAUAGAGGACGGAAACCUCUCGUACAGCAAAAGGGCAAAAGCUUGCUUGAUCUUGACUUUCAGUACGAGUACAGACCGCGAAAGCGUGGCCUAUCGAUCCUUUUAAUCCUGAUUGUUUCCGGUAAGAGGUGUCAGAAAAGUUACCACAGGGAUAACUGGCUUGUGGCAUCCAAGCGUCCAUAGCGACGUUGCUUUUAGAUCCUUCGAUGUCAGCUCAUCCUAUCAUAGCGAAGCAGAAUUCUGCCAAGCGUUGGCAUUGUUUCCCUCACUAAUUAGUGAACGUGUAGCUGGGGUUUACAGCCGUCGUGAGACAGGUUAGUUUUAC